rnacentral:rRNA from 1 species
GACGGAGGCCCCGAGCGUUGUUCGGAAUUACUGGGCUUAAAGCGCGUGUAGGCGGGUCGGUAAGUGCUUUGUGAAAUCCCCGGGCUCAACCCGGGAAUUGCUUGGCAUACUGCCGGUCUUGAGGCAGGUAUGGGUCACUGGAACCUUAGGUGUAGCGGUGAAAUGCGUAGAUAUCUAAGGGAACGCCGGUGGCGAAAGCGGGUGACUGGGCCUGUCCUGACGCUGAGACGCGAAAGCGUAGGGAG